GCCAGCAUGGUGUAUUGGUUUAAAUGCUGGAUUAUGACUCUAGAGAUCAGGGUCCGAUUCCCUGCUUGAGCA